AGUGAACGCUGGCGGUAGGCCUAACACAUGCAAGUCGAACGGCAGCACAGUAAGAGCUUGCUCUUACGGGUGGCGAGUGGCGGACGGGUGAGGAAUACAUCGGAAUCUACUUUUUCGUGGGGGAUAACGUAGGGAAACUUACGCUAAUACCGCAUACGACCUACGGGUGAAAGCAGGGGAUCUUCGGACCUUGCGCGAUUGAAUGAGCCGAUGUCGGAUUAGCUAGUUGGCGGGGUAAAGGCCCACCAAGGCGACGAUCCGUAGCUGGUCUGAGAGGAUGAUCAGCCACACUGGAACUGAGACACGGUCCAGACUCCUACGGGAGGCAGCAGUGGGGAAUAUUGGACAAUGGGCGCAAUCCUGAUCCAGCCAUACCGCGUGGGUGAAGAAGGCCUUCGGGUUGUAAGGCCCUUUUGUUGGGAAAGAAAAGCAGCAGGUUAAUACCCCGCUGUUCUGACGGUACCCAAAGAAUAAGCACCGGCUAACUUCGUG
rnacentral:rRNA from 1 species